rnacentral:rRNA from 1 species
CCUACGGGAGGCAGCAGUGAGGAAUAUUGGUCAAUGGCCGUAAGGCUGAACCAGCCAAGUCGCGUGAAGGAAGAAGGAUCUAUGGUUUGUAAACUUCUUUUAUAGGGGAAUAAAGGUAUCCACGUGUGGAGAUUUGCAUGUACCCUAUGAAUAAGCAUCGGCUAACUCCGUGCCAGCAGCCGCGGUAAUACGGAGGAUUCGAGCGUUAUUCGGAUUUAUUGGGUUUAAAGGGUGCGUAGGUUGUUUUUUAAGUCCGCGGUGAAAGUUUGUGGCUCAACCAUAAAAUUGCCGUUGAAACUGGAAGCCUUGAGUGUGCUUGAGGUAGGCGGAAUGCGUGGUGUAGCGGUGAAAUGCAUAGAUAUCACGCAGAACUCCGAUUGCGAAGGCAGCUUACUAAGCCAUAACUGACGUUGAGGCUCGAAAGCGUGGGGAGCAAACAGGAUUAGAUACCCGUGUAGUC